CUCUCUCUCUCUCUCUCAUUCUCUCACAGCAGCGUCGCACUAUCCCCCUCUUACUGUCUCUCACCCUUGCAAGUAGUAGUGCUCCACGAAGCCACCGCGUCUGGAUCUAUCCCUACCACACCUGAUAAUCACCACCGACGUCAGCCGCAUCAACACCAGAUCUGAGGAUAUGGAAUCAUAGAUCUGGAGGGGUUGAGAUGAAGUUGGAAGUUUUUGUUUUUUCAAUGCGAUUUGGGAAUUGAGAAGCUUUGUUUAAUUUCUAACUUAAUUUCGAUUCUCAAUUGUAAUAAUCUGCAACUAGUUUCUAUUUGGGUUUGUCAAAUCUUGAUCUGGAGUUGACCUAGUGU